UACGUAGGGUGCGAGCGUUAAUCGGAAUUACUGGGCGUAAAGCGUGCGCAGGCGGUUUUGUAAGCCAGACGUGAAAUCCCCGGGCUUAACCUGGGAAUGGCGUUUGGGACUGCAAGGCUUGAGUGUGGCAGAGGGGACUAGAAUUCCUGGUGUAGCAGUGAAAUGCGUAGAUAUCAGGAGGAAUACCGAUGGCGAAGGCAGGUCCCUGGGUUAACACUGACGCUCAUGCACGAAAGCGUGGGGAGCAAACAGG
rnacentral:rRNA from 1 species